ensembl:lncRNA
UGGGUCCUGUCCCCUGUCCCUCGCCCCGGGCUGGCACCUGCGGGUGGCAGCGGCUCUGCCGGGACGGUCAUCGCCCGCCCCGUCCCCUGCAGCCUCCUGGGCAGCGGAUCCGUCCUCGCUGUCACCUCCUGGCAGGGGCGCUGCUGCCACAUCCAGGUGAGUGUCACCGGCCUGUGGCAGUGUCCCUGCUGCCACAUCCAGGUGAGUGCCACCGGCCUGUGGCAGUGUCCCUGCUGCCACAUCCAGGUGAGUGUCACCGGCCUGUGGCAGUAUCACUGCUGCCACAUCCAGGUGAGUGCCACCGGCUCCUGGCAAUGCUGCCAUGUCCAGGUGAGUGUCACCAGCUCCCAGGGACACAGGGCUGGGUCUGGCCCCAGCUAAGCCCGAGUCAAAGCCGAGCUAACACCGGGUUUAAAGCCCCGGGCAGGGAGCAGGAGGUGCAGGAUGCCCAACUCGCGGCACUCGCCCCGGCCCCCGGGAGCCGCCUGGCCCAGCCUGGGAAGGGCCGCGGGAGCUGCCGGGGGCUGCUGCCAGCAGAGCUAACGCCGUGCCCUGUCCCCAGCUGCGCCCCCUGUUCCUCCUGGCCCUGGCAGAUUUCCUGGGUGCCACGGCGCUGCUGGGCACGGGAACCAUCCCGCUGCUGCCGGCCCCCCUCUCCGUGCCCGCCUACGCCGCCUGUCCCUACGGGCGGAUGCUGACCACGACCUCCUACGCCGUCUCGUUCCUCAUGGUCGCUGUUUACGCGUUCGAGUCGCACCGCACCGUGCUCGGGGGGCGAGCCCGGCCCCCGGCAGCGCUGCAGGAGCGGAGCCGCUGCCUGGAGAGCGCCUGGCAGGGAAUUCCGUACGUCCUGGCCUGGCUGGUGCCGGCGCUGACUCUCCUGGCGCAGCUGCUCGCCCGCGGCACCUCCGCCGCCGACAUCGCGCCCGUGGUGCCCUGGGCCGGCUCCAACGACACCUUCAGCCUUUACUGCUCCAGCUGCCUCCUCCUGAUCCACCCGAACCAGGACAUCUGCUCCCAGUCCGGCGGGGGCAAGAACGCGGGGCUGGAGGAGAAAAUCAUCUUCCUGCUGUACCUGCUGCUGGUGCUCGGCUGCUGCUCGCUCCUGUACCGGCGGGUGCGGCUCCGGUGCCGGGGGAACGCGGCGCUGCCGCUGCUGAGCCUGGACAGGGACGGCGGCUUCGGGGGCAGGAGCGGCCGCAGCGUCAGCAAAGCCUCGCUGUACUUCCAGCUGGUUUUCCUGCUCUGCUGGACGCCAGGCAAGGCCAGGGGGGUGUCCCAAAGCCCCCAGCCCCACAGGGUCACAGUGAGGGUGUCCCCAGGGUCACAGUGAGGGUGUCCCCAGCUCCCCCAGCCCCACAGGGUCACAGUGAGGGUGUCCCCAGCCCCUCAGGGUCACAGUGAGGGUGUCCCCAGCUUCCCCAGGGUCACAGUGAGGGUGUCCCCAGCCCCUCAGGGUCACAGUGAGGGUGUCCCCAGCUUCCCCAGGGUCACAGUGAGGGUGUCCCCAGCUCCCCCAGCUUCCCCAGGGUCACAGUGAGGGUGUCCCAGCUCCCCAGGGUCACAGUGAGGGUGUCCCCAGCUCCCCCAGCCCCUCAGGGUCACAGUGAGGGUG